rnacentral:rRNA from 1 species
AUUGAACGCUGGCGGCAGGCCUAACACAUGCAAGUCGAACGGUAGCACAGAGGAGCUUGCUCCUUGGGUGACGAGUGGCGGACGGGUGAGUAAUGUCUGGGAAACUGCCCGAUGGAGGGGGAUAACUACUGGAAACGGUAGCUAAUACCGCAUAACGUCGCAAGACCAAAGAGGGGGACCUUCGGGCCUCUUGCCAUCGGAUGUGCCCAGAUGGGAUUAGCUAGUAGGUGGGGUAACGGCUCACCUAGGCGACGAUCCCUAGCUGGUCUGAGAGGAUGACCAGCCACACUGGAACUGAGACACGGUCCAGACUCCUACGGGAGGCAGCAGUGGGGAAUAUUGCACAAUGGGCGCAAGCCUGAUGCAGCCAUGACGCGUGUAUGAAGAAGGCCUUCGGGUUGUAAAGUACUUUCAGCGAGGAGGAAGGCGUUGUGGUUAAUAACCGCAACGAUUGACGUUACUCGCAGAAGAAGCACCGGCUAACUCCGUGCCAGCCGCCGCGGUAAAAGGG